rnacentral:rRNA from 1 species
UGGGGAAUUUUGGACAAUGGGCGCAAGCCUGAUCCAGCCAUGCCGCGUGCGGGAAGAAGGCCUUCGGGUUGUAAACCGCUUUUGUCAGGGAAGAAAAGGUUCUGGUUAAUACCUGGGACUCAUGACGGUACCUGAAGAAUAAGCACCGGCUAACUACGUGCCAGCAGCCGCGGUAAUACGUAGGGUGCAAGCGUUAAUCGGAAUUACUGGGCGUAAAGCGUGCGCAGGCGGUUAUGCAAGACAGAGGUGAAAUCCCCGGGCUCAACCUGGGAACUGCCUUUGUGACUGCAUGGCUAGAGUACGGUAGAGGGGGAUGGAAUUCCGCGUGUAGCAGUGAAAUGCGUAGAUAUGCGGAGGAACACCGAUGGCGAAGGCAAUCCCCUGGACCUGUACUGACGCUCAUGCACGAAAGCGUGGGGAGCAAACAGG